CAGGAGACGUGCUGUUGGCGGUGUUCAAGAGCCUGUCGGGCGGCGGAGUGCUGACUAUCGACCUGGUCACUGGGCUGGUGCUAGACAGCUGGGUGGCCGCUCAGGGUCUGAACGAGCCCCACGAUCUAGCCGUUACCUCCGACGGCCGCACCACCUAUGUCGGUGAGCUGGUGCCCGCCCGCGUCUCAAAGUUCGUGCUGCAGCCGGAUUUUUAUGAGCGUCCUUAGCGCCAUCUAGCGGGAGCUUAAUAAGCCAAGAGCCCAGCUCCGAGCCAAGAGUCUGGCUCCAAGCUAAGAGCCAGGAGGUAGCUGUCGGCGGUGGCUCCGAGCUGCGCGGCGCAGAGCGACACAGAGCUUAUGUAACAGCCCACCUCUAUUGUAUGCGUGUGUGUGCUAUUUUUGUAAUGUGUAACAAUAACGCUUCUUAUCGCUUUAUGGAAGGUGUUGAUAUUGUCGAAGGAGGCGUUUCCUUGGAGGUGAGGCCUGGGACUAUCGUAAGACCGCGCUGGGCUGAGGCUGGGAUGGUGGUGAUGGAUUCCAGUGAGCCGCUGUCUGUUCCACAGAGCUCGUUUAAUGUGCCCGCGCCAUGUUACGUAACCGUUCCCUGUUCUGUGACGAUGUGUAGUAGUGUUAACCGUCUUUAUCGUCAAUAGCUUGUAGUCAAGAGUCACGGUGUAGAUGCGUCUUGUUUACUCAAACUGCGGUUUCCUGAUGCAGCAAGCUGAUUAUUUCAAGUCAUUAAAAAUACAGAAUGUAGACUGUUACGUGCGAUUACCUUUGCUAACCGUGUUCUGUUCCUUGAAUAAAUCGAAAGCCAGUCCAGCCAAC